rnacentral:rRNA from 1 species
GUGCACCAGGCGCGAAACUUCACACUGUGCGAAAGCACGAUGAGGGAAUCCCAAGUGCUUGCACGUAAGUGUAAGCUGUUUCUCUGUCUAAAACGCAGAGAGAGUAAGGGCUGGGUAAGACGGGUGCCAGCCGCCGCGGUAAUACCUGCAGCUCAAGUGGUGACCGUUAUUAUUGGGCCUAAAACGUCCGUAGCCGGUUUAAUAAAUGCCUGGGUAAAUUGUGUAGCUUAACUAUACGAAUUCCGGGUAGACUGUUAAACUUGAGACCGGGAGAAGUUAGAGGUACUCCUGGGGUAGAGGUGAAAUUCUGUAAUCCUAGGGGGACCACCAGUGGCGAAGGCGUCUAACUAGAACGGGUCUGACGGUGAGGGACGAAGCCCUGGGGCGCAAACGGGAUUAGAUACCCCCAUAGU